rnacentral:other from 1 species
GCGAAGCUGCCCGGUGCGUUAGGCCGCACAACUCCCGGGGGCUAUAAAUAUAGAAUUGGGAGCUGUCCCUGGUAGGGCCCUGGCCUUACUACACGGCGCCCACGUAGUGCUCGUGGCCCAGGUGGAGGUCGCGUAGAGCCGACGGCCAGGGUGGCUUCGCA